AGGCAUUAAGAACAUUUUCAACUUGUUAAUCCAGAAAGUCUAAGAGACUCUCCCAAAACAAUACAAGGAGUUGUUGUUGACCUCAGUUGUUUCUCAGAGCCUUCAGAUGAAGAUGUUGAACUCUUAGCUCUGCCUACACCAUGCCUGCCUGGAUGCUGCCAUGUUCUUGCCUUGAUGUUAAUGGACUGAAUCUCUGAACCUAAACAGAAUUCUGUUUGAUAGUGAAUGCUGACUACAUCAAAAUGCCGCAGGUCCUCUGCAUGAAAUGGAGAAAACCAAAUAAAACCAUCUGUCAACAGCACAGCUUUGUCGCCAUGACAAUUUGUGAUUGAAUUUGCUCAGCAGACUAUCCAAGGCUUCAUGUUCAUCAAG